rnacentral:lncRNA from 14 species
AGAGACUGCUGAGGAGCAGCGCAGCUGGACUGGACGGGAUGGAGCGGCGGCCGGUGCCCCGCCGGUGCUGAGCCGGAGCCUGGGCACCAGCCACCCACCACCUCAUUUACCCUGGACUGCUAAUGCUGAGCUACGGCUGCGCAUCAUUGCCCACCCGUGACAUUUGCCACCUGUGUGAAAGCAAGUGAGGGUCCAUCACAAGAUAAGGAGCCAUCUUCUUUGGAGAGGGGGCUGCAGGAAUACUCUUC